rnacentral:rRNA from 1 species
GAUGAACGCUGGCGGCGUGCCUAAUACAUGCAAGUCGAGCGAACAGACGAGGAGCUUGCUCCUCUGACGUUAGCGGCGGACGGGUGAGUAACACGUGGAUAACCUACCUAUAAGACUGGGAUAACUUCGGGAAACCGGAGCUAAUACCGGAUAACAUGUUGAACCGCAUGGUUCAACAGUGAAAGACGGUCUUGCUGUCACUUAUAGAUGGAUCCGCGCCGCAUUAGCUAGUUGGUAAGGUAACGGCUUACCAAGGCAACGAUGCGUAGCCGACCUGAGAGGGUGAUCGGCCACACUGGAACUGAGACACGGUCCAGACUCCUACGGGAGGCAGCAGUAGGGAAUCUUCCGCAAUGGGCGGAAGCCUGACGGAGCAACGCCGCGUGAGUGAAGAAGGUCUUCGGAUCGUAAAACUCUGUUAUUAGGGAAGAACAAAUGUGUAAGUAACUAUGCACGUCUUGACGGUACCUAAUCAGAAAGCCACGGCUAACUACGUG